rnacentral:rRNA from 1 species
AUGGCUUCUUCCGGAUCCAAUGAGAAGAGAGGUGAUGAUCGCAAGGGGGGUGAAGAAGUGUGGAAAAUGGAGGCCAAGGAUAAAGAUGGAACUCCCAGAAACUCGGUAGUCUCCGCUGAAGAAUCAGAAGCUCAAGUAUCUCAACCUCGGUCAACCACGGUCACCGGAGUCUCUGCCAUCCCAACCUCUUGGAGAGUCAAAUCAUCAAACUAUCGGCUGACACCCAAAUCAUCAGCAAGGCUGUACAGAAACCCUUACUACAACUUAAUUCACAAUUUUGGAGUAGAGAACACUUCUUGUUUGGACAUUCCUGGACCUUGGGAUCGCCAUAUACCCAAGAGAGGCAAUGACCAGGAGAGCAACAGUUGGGGAACUACCAACAAUCAAAUUAUGUAG